AUGCCUUUGUCUGCUUUAAAAUCGAGCUUGGGAUUUUUUUUGCAACAGGUAACCAUUUUAGCUUUGCAACAUUUGAAUAUUAUGUUCAGAUUUGGAUUUGUCUUUGGAUAUGUGGGUAAAGUUGGAUUGAUUCUUUUCAUGUAUAAGCGAAGAAAUUUUUGUGAUGAUGAAUCAUUUUUAAACCAAGUUUAG